rnacentral:rRNA from 1 species
UACGUAGGGUGCGAGCGUUAAUCGGAAUUACUGGGCGUAAAGCGCGCGCAGGCGGCCGCGCAAGUCGAGUGUGAAAUCCCCGAGCUUAACUUGGGAAUUGCGCUCGAAACUACGUGGCUGGAGUGUGGCAGAGGAAGGUGGAAUUCCACGUGUAGCGGUGAAAUGCGUAGAGAUGUGGAGGAACACCGAUGGCGAAGGCAGCCUUCUGGGCCAACACUGACGCUCAUGCACGAAAGCGUGGGGAGCAAACAGG